AUACCAUAUACACACCAUACACACAUAUACACACACAUACCCCAUAUAUACACACAUAUACAUACCUACAUAUAGAGACACAUAUAUACACACCAUACAUAUACAAACACACCCCGUAUACACACAUAUACACACCUACAUAUAGAGACACAUAUAUACACACCAUACAUACACACACACCCCAUGUACACACACAUAUACACACCUACAUAUAUACACACCAUACAUAUACAAACACACCCCAUGUACACACCUACAUAUAGAGACACAUAUAUACACACCAUACAUACACACACCCCAUGUACACACACAUAUACACAACUACAUAUAUACAUACCAUACGUAUACAAACACACCCCAUGUACACACCUACAUAUAGAGACACACACAUAUACACACCAUACACACAUAUACACACACACCCCAUAUAUACACAUACACACCUACAUAUAUACACACAUACACAUCGUACACACACACCAUAUAUACAUAUAUACACACAUAUAUACACACCAUACACACAUGCACACACAUACCCAUAUAUACAUAUAUAUAUACACACACGUAUAUACAUAUAUACACACCAUAACACACGUAUAUACAUAUAUACAUAUACACAUAUACAUACCAUACACACACGAGCAUAUACACACACAUGCCAUACACACACAUAUGUAC
rnacentral:lncRNA from 10 species